rnacentral:rRNA from 1 species
GAUGAACGCUAGCUACAGGCUUAACACAUGCAAGUCGAGGGGUAACGAGAGGAAAGCUUGCUUUCCUUGUCGACGACCGGCGCACGGGUGAGUAACGCGUAUCCAACCUGCCCCCAACUAAGGAAUAACCUUGCGAAAGUAAGACUAAUACCUUAUAAUUUCCUCAGAUGUCAUCUGACGAGGAAUAAAGAUUUAUCGGUUGUGGAUGGGGAUGCGUCUGAUUAGCUUGUUGGCGGGGUAACGGCCCACCAAGGCAACGAUCAGUAGGGGUUCUGAGAGGAAGGUCACCCACAUUGGAACUGAGACACGGUCCAAACUCCUACGGGAGGCAGCAGUGAGGAAUAUUGGUCAAUGGGCGAAAGCCUGAACCAGCCAAGUAGCGUGCAGUAUGACGGCCCUAUGGGUUGUAAACUGCUUUUAUACAGGAAUAAAGUUAGCCACGUGUGGUUAUUUGUAGGUACUGUAUGAAUAAGGACCGGCUAAUUCCGUGCCAGCAGCCGCGGUAA